GGAAUGAAACAAUACAGAGAGUGAGACAGGAUCUGAAGAGUGCGACAAUACAGAGAGUGAGACAGGAUCUAAAGAGUGAGACAAUACAGAGAGUGAGACAGGUUCUAACAGGAUCUAAAGUGUGAGACAAUACAGAGAGUGAGACAGGAUCUAAAGAGUGAGACAGCACAGAGAGUGAGACAAUACAGAGAGUGAGACAGGAUCUAAAGAGUGAGACAGCACAGAGAGUGAGACAAUACAGAAGGUGAGACAGGAUCUAAAGAGUGAGACAGCACAGAGAGUGAGACAAUACAGAGAGUGAGACAGGAUCAAAAGAGUGAGACAGGACAGAAAAAGAAGUAAUCGAGGAGAAAAAAAUACGAGUUAAUAAGAGAGACAGAACUGGAAGUAUGAGACAGGACAGAGAUUAAAAACAAUACCGAGAGUGAGACAGAACUAAAAGAGUGAGACAGAACAGAUAAUGAAA
rnacentral:lncRNA from 1 species